rnacentral:rRNA from 1 species
GAUGAACGCUGGCGGCAUGCCUAACACAUGCAAGUCGGACGGGAAGCAUCCUCGUGGUGUUUCCAGUGGCGGACGGGUGAGUGACGCGUAAGAACCUGCCCUUGGGAGGGGGACAACAGCUGGAAACGGCUGCUAAUACCCCAUAGGCUGAGGAGCAAAAGGGAGGGAUCCGCCCAAGGAGGGGCUUGCGUCUGAUUAGCUAGUUGGUGAGGCAAUGGCUUACCAAGGCGACGAUCAGUAGCUGGUCUGAGAGGAUGAUCAGCCACACUGGGACUGA